rnacentral:tRNA from 1 species
UCCUUGAUCAUAUAGUCGGUCAUUAUGGUUGGCUGUUAACCAAUUCAGAUAGGUUCAAGUCCUAUUCAAGGAG